AACGAACGCUGGCGGCAUGCCUAACACAUGCAAGUCGAACGAGACCUUCGGGUCUAGUGGCGCACGGGUGCGUAACGCGUGGGAAUCUGCCCUUAGGUUCGGAAUAACUUCGGGAAACUGAAGCUAAUACCGGAUGAUGACGUAAGUCCAAGGAUUUAUCGCCUAAGGAUGAGCCCGCGUUGGAUUAGCUAGUUGGUGAGGUAAAGGCUCACCAAGGCGACGAUCCAUAGCUGGUCUGAGAGGAUGAUCAGCCACACUGGGACUGAGACACGGCCCAGACUCCUACGGGAGGCAGCAGUGGGGAAUAUUGGACAAUGGGCGAAAGCCUGAUCCAGCAAUGCCGCGUGAGUGAUGAGGGCCUUAGGGUUGUAAAGCUCUUUUACCCGAGAUGAUAAUGACAGUAUCGGGAGAAGUAAGCUCCGGCUAACUCCGUGCCAGCAGCCGCGGU
rnacentral:rRNA from 1 species